rnacentral:rRNA from 1 species
CGGGCGGCGUGCUACCUGCAAGUCGAACGAGAAAGUGGGAGCAAUCCCGCGAGUACAGUGGCAGACGGGUGAGUAACACGUGAACAACCUACCCCCGAGUGUGGAAUAACACCGCGAAAGCGGUGCUAAUACCGCAUAACAUCCUUGGAAUGCAUGUUCCGGGGAUCAAUGGCGCAAGUCGCUUGGGGAGGGGUUCGCGCCUGAUUAGCUAGUUGGUGAGGUAACGGCCCACCAAGGCGACGAUCAGUAGCCGGCCUGAGAGGGCGAACGGCCACACUGGAACUGAGACACGGUCCAGACUCCUACGGGAGGCAGCAGUGGGGAAUUUUGCGCAAUGGGCGAAAGCCUGACGCAGCAACGCCGCGUGGAGGAUGAAGGCCUUCGGGUCGUAAACUCCUGUCAGGGGGGACGAAUACCUUAACCGGUUUGACUGUACCCCCUGAGGAAGCCACGGCUAACUCCGUGCCAGCAGCCGCGGUAAUACGGAGGUGGCAAGCGUUGUUCGGAAUUACUGGGCGUAAAGGGCGCGUAGGCGGCUUUGCAAGUCAGAUGUGAAAGCCCCGGGCUUAACUCGGGAAUUGCAUCUGAAACUGCUUUGCUUGAGUCCUGGAGGGGGUAGUGGAAUUCCCAGUGUAGCGGUGAAAUGCGUAGAUAUUGGGAGGAACACCUGCGGCGAAGGCGGCUACCUGGACAGUGACUGACGCUGAUGCGCGAAAGCUAGGGGAGCAAACGGGAUUAGAUACCCCGGUAGUCCUAGCCGUAAACGAUGGGCACUU